GGUUGCAGUGAGCCAAGAUCGCGCCACUGCACUCAAGCCUGGGAGACAGAGUGAGCUCCGUCUCAAAAAAAAAGAAGGAAAGAAAGAAAGAAACCGCCGGCACCGGGAAAGGAGCGGUGCAGCGAUGGACCCACUGUGCUUUCCGUGCUACCAAAGUCCUGCGGCCUCUACCCACUCUAGAUUCCCAAGGCUGUUUUCUCGGGCUUAGGGAAGUCUGUUGUAUUUUUCUUUCUCUCUCUCUUUCUUUCUUUCUUCUUUCAUUUCUUUCUCUUUCCUUUUUUUCUUCUUUCUUUUCUUUUCUUUCCUUUCCUUUCCUUUCCUUUUCUUUUCUUUUCUUUCUCGUGCUCUGUUGCCCAGGCUGCUGCAGUGGCGUGAUCACGACUCAGUGCGGCCUCGCCUUCUUGGGCUCCAGCUAUCCUCCGGCCUCAGCCGGUGGAGCAGCUGGGACCACAGGUGCGCGAUACCACACCCGACUAAUUUUUUGUAGUUUUCUUAGAGACAGGGUCUCGUUUUGUUGCCUAGUCUGUUCUCGAACUCCUGAGCUCAAGCAAUCCGCCCGCCAGGGCCUCCCAAAGUGUUAGAAUCACAGGCGUGAGUCUCCGUUCUGGGCGGGAAGCCUGUAUUGUUCCUGCAUUCAACCCAGUGCAUAGUGCCUGAGAGGAGGAGGCGGUUUAGGGGCCCAGAACCAAGCGGAGGCGGCUGGUUCCAGGAACAAAGUAAAAUCCAUUCUGAUCGCCAACAGCUUCCUACGCAGGAAACAGCCCUUCCAACCUCCAUGGCGGCGGGACUUUCCCAGGCCACCCCUCGGUCCCAGAGUCUCCUCCCAGUCCAGAGCUCUCAGGAUCCUACAGGAGGGGCGGACAACUGCUUCCCUUCCAAACUGGAAACUCGGCCUAGGUUUCCGAGGAUAAUGAAAGGCACAGCGUUUUUUGACCGCGCCUUCAGGCCUGAUCCCCGACUCUCUCGGUCGCGUACCUCUCCUGCGGGAUGUAAUUCUGUGGGAACCACUCGUUUAUUCUGAUGAUUAACUGUUAGAUAUCCUUGCUAUUUGGGGAUUGUAGAUGGAAGAGAGUAGGAGAGAAAAUGGACUGCAAGACUCCGGCGCAGGAAGUGGCAUUGAUGGCAGAGGUCCGCUCCCUCUCCAAGGCCAAUGAACAUCUCAAACUGCUGUCCACUUUCCUAUACCCUUGAUCUGUGGAAUGGAUCACUGAUGUUUUCUCUGUCUUUCGGGAAAUGCAAAGCAGGCGAAUAUUCAAGCGCUUGAAUUCUCUGUUUCCCACUUUUCAGUCAGAGUGCAGCUAAAAACUCCUUUCCCAUGGGAAAUAUGGAACUGCCUCUGCCCGGAAGAAAAACGUCCCUUUCCUCUAAGCUUUCACAUUUCCCCAAAAAUCUACACAUCCCGUGAAAUCCUCACGAGAGACCUACAGACCCUACCGGGAGCUUUUCCGCAUCCUCUCCCAACCUCACCCAGAAGAUACCAUGCAACCAAUUCCAUCCUUUUCUAGAGGAACCUGGGCAGAGGACAGGUCCAGAGGAGCAUAGAAAAGGGCCUUUACAGGAACAGAAACAGCACACUCAGACAUGAAAAACUGUCCUGGCUUAAAAGGGUUCCUUUCCUCGCAGGAUUAAUGUCACCAGCCAGGUUCCUAAGCUUUGUGGAACACCCAGGACCAGAAGAAUAUAAAAUUGCAAAAGCUGGUGGCUCCUGAGUCCAAGAGUUCCUGGUUUUCCUGGACACAAACAAUAGCGCAGCACUUUCUUCCCCGUGUGCCAGAGGCCUGGGGUUCUGCAGAAGAGGCCUGGAGGACCCAGACACUGCAAGGCCUGCGCUCAGUAUAUUCUGGGCCCUGUCCUUUCACCUUCUAUUUCUUGUGUGGCCCCCAUACUCAUGCCAGCUAUCCUGGAACAGUCAAGAGUUCAAUUGUGACCUGCUUCCUCCCUCAACCUCUUCUCCCCAACCUCCACACCACACCUCUUCUUUGGGAAGAUUUGUAAAAAUUAAAGUUAUUAUAUCCAUGUAA